rnacentral:ribozyme from 13 species
CAAGUUGGGAAAGAAAAGAAGAGGAUGGGAAAGGAAAGAAGAAGGAUUGAGGGAAAAGGAAGAUAGUGGGGUUUUGUUUUGUUGUUUUUGUUUUUGUUUUGUUGUUGAGGUUUUGUUGCCAUGGGGCGUUUUGUUUGGGUUGCUCUUUUCUUGUUUGUGUCAUUGU